GUGUCAGCAGCCGCGGUAAGACGAACCGUGCGAACGUUAUUCGGAAUCACUGGGCUUAAAGCGCGUGUAGGCGGAUGAGCACGUCUGUCGCUGAAAUCCCCCGGCUCAACCGGGGAACGGGCGGAGAUACGGCUCAUCUGGAGGGGCGUAGGGGGACCUGGAACUUCCGGUGGAGCGGUGAAAUGCGUUGAGAUCGGAAGGAACGCCCGUGGCGAAAGCGAGGUCCUGGACGCCUACUGACGCUGAGACGCGAAAGCCAGGGGAGCGAACGGGAUUAGAAACCCGCGUAGUCC
rnacentral:rRNA from 1 species